UCUCCGGGGGUAGAGCACUGUUUCGGCUAGGGGGCCAUCCCGGCUUACCAACCCGAUGCAAACUGCGAAUACCGGAGAAUGUUAUCACGGGAGACACACGGCGGGUGCUAACGUCCGUCGUGAAGAGGGAAACAACCCAGACCGCCAGCUAAGGUCCCAAAGUCAUGGUUAAGUGGGAAACGAUGUGGGAAGGCCCAGACAGCCAGGAUGUUGGCUUAGAAGCAGCCAUCAUUUAAAGAAAGCGUAAUAGCUCACUGGUCGAGUCGGCCUGCGCGGAAGAUGUAACGGGGCUAAACCAUGCACCGAAGCUGCGGCAGCGACACUGUGUGUUGUUGGGUAGGGGAGCGUUCUGUAAGCCUGUGAAGGUGUGUCGUGAGGCAUGCUGGAGGUAUCAGAAGUGCGAAUGCUGACAUAAGUAACGAUAAAGCGGGUGAAAAGCCCGCUCGCCGGAAGACCAAGGGUUCCUGUCCAACGUUAAUCGGGGCAGGGUGAGUCGACCCCUAAGGCGAGGCCGAAAGGCGUAGUCGAUGGGAAACGGGUUAAUAUUCCCGUACUUGGUGUUACUGCGAAGGGGGGACGGAGAAGGCUAUGUUGGCCGGGCGACGGUUGUCCCGGUUUAAGCGUGUAGGUGUGUGUUCCAGGUAAAUCCGGUUCACUUUAACACUGAGGCGUGACGACGAGGCACUACGGUGCUGAAGCAACAAAUGCCCUGCUUCCAGGAAAAGCCUCUAAGCAUCAGGUAACAUCAAAUCGUACCCCAAACCGACACAGGUGGUCAGGUAGAGAAUACCAAGGCGCUUGAGAGAACUCGGGUGAAGGAACUAGGCAAAAUGGUGCCGUAACUUCGGGAGAAGGCACGCUGACACGUAGGUGAAGUGAUUUACUCAUGGAGCUGAAGUCAGUCGAAGAUACCAGCUGGCUGCAACUGUUUAUUAAAAACACAGCACUGUGCAAACACGAAAGUGGACGUAUACGGUGUGACGCCUGCCCGGUGCCGGAAGGUUAAUUGAUGGGGUCAGCGCAAGCGAAGCUCCUGAUCGAAGCCCCGGUAAACGGCGGCCGUAACUAUAACGGUCCUAAGGUAGCGAAAUUCCUUGUCGGGUAAGUUCCGACCUGCACGAAUGGCGUAAUGAUGGCCAGGCUGUCUCCACCCGAGACUCAGUGAAAUUGAACUCGCUGUGAAGAUGCAGUGUACCCGCGGCAAGACGGAAAGACCCCGUGAACCUUUACUAUAGCUUGACACUGAACAUUGAGCCUUGAUGUGUAGGAUAGGUGGGAGGCUUUGAAGUGUGGACGCCAGUCUGCAUGGAGCCGACCUUGAAAUACCACCCUUUAAUGUUUGAUGUUCUAACGUGGACCCGUUACCCGGGUUGCGGACAGUGUCUGGUGGGUAGUUUGACUGGGGCGGUCUCCUCC
rnacentral:rRNA from 2 species